rnacentral:rRNA from 1 species
UACGAACCGUACGAACGUUAUUCGGAAUCACUGGGCUUAAAGAGUGCGUAGGCGGCCGGGUAAGUUGGGUGUGAAAUCCCUCGGCUCAACCGAGGAACUGCGCUCAAAACUACUUGGCUUGAGGGAGAUAGAGGUGAGCGGAACUAAUGGUGGAGCGGUGAAAUGCGUUGAUAUCAUUAGGAACACCUGAGGCGAAAGCAGCUCACUGGGUCUCUUCUGACGCUGAGGCACGAAAGCUAGGGGAGCGAACGGGAUUAGAUACCCCGGUA